UGUCUGACUGUCUCAGACCUGCUUAGCUGCUCUCGUGCCACUGGGUGUCAUAUAGCUCCACUGAGACACAUAUACACUCAUGCAACCGGAAACCAAGCAACCUGAAGCUUGCAGGGAUGGAGUUCAAGUAGACAUAACUUGAGAGAAAUCGGUCCAUUACCAUAUGGAGAAAUCACUGGAUUUAAGAACUUGGCUUUCCGAACAAGGAGGGAUAUUGAAUAAAGAU